GACGAACGCUGGCGGCGUGCUUAAUACAUGCAAGUCGAACGGAAAGGCCAUGCUCUUGCGGGGUUCUCGAGUGGCGAACGCGUGAGUAACACGUGAGUAACCUGCCCUUGACUUUGGGAUAACUUCAGGAAACUGGGGCGAAUACCGGAUAGGAGCUCCUGAUGCAUGGUGGGGGUUGGAAAGAUUCGGCGGUUGGGGAUGGACUCGAGGCUUAUCAGCUUGUUGGUCGGGUAGUGGCUGACCAAGGGUUUGACGGGUAGCCGGCCUGAGAGGGUGACCGGCCUCAUUGGGACUGCGAGAGGCAGCAGACGCGUACGGUAGGCAGCAGUGGGGAGUAUGGCGCAGUGAGCGGAAGCCUGAUGCGACAACGCCGCGUGCGGGAAGACGUCUUUCUGGUGGUGAACCGCUUUCGCCGGUGACGAAGCGUGCGUGACGGUAACGGGUAAAAAAGCACCGGCUAACUACGUG
rnacentral:rRNA from 1 species